GAUGAACGCUAGCGGGAGGCUUAACACAUGCAAGUCGAGGGGCAGCAUAGGGUAGCAAUACUCUGAUGGCGACCGGCAAACGGGUGAGUAACGCGUAUGUAACCUACCCUGUACAGGGGGAUAACCCGGAGAAAUUCGGACUAAUAUCCCAUAACAAUAUCCGGGGGCAUCUUUGGAUAUUUAAAGUUCCGGCGGUACGGGAUGGGCAUGCGUAACAUUAGCUAGUUGGUAAGGUAACGGCUUACCAAGGCUUUGAUGUUUAGGGGUCCUGAGAGGGUGGUCCCCCACACUGGUACUGAGACACGGACCAGACUCCUACGGGAGGCAGCAGUGAGGAAUAUUGGUCAAUGGGCGCAAGCCUGAACCAGCCAUCCCGCGUGCAGGAAGACGGCGCUAUGCGUUGUAAACUGCUUUUCCAGGGAGAGAAACUUGCGCACGUGUUGCGCAAUUGACGGUACCCUGGGAAUAAGCAUCGGCUAACUCCGUGCCAGCAGCCGCGGUAAAACGUGCGUGC
rnacentral:rRNA from 1 species